UACGUAGGGAGCAAGCGUUGUUCGGAUUUACUGGGCGUAAAGGGCGCGUAGGCGGCAAUUUCAAGUCAUCUGUGAAAUCUCCGGGCUUAACUCGGAACGGUCAGAUGAUACUGCUUUGCUAGAGUGCGGAAGGGGCAAUCGGAAUUCUCGGUGUAGCGGUGAAAUGCGUAGAUAUCGAGAGGAACACCUGAGGUGAAGACGGGUUGCUGGGCCGACACUGACGCUGACAGCGCGAAAGCCAGGGGAGCAAACGGG
rnacentral:rRNA from 1 species